rnacentral:rRNA from 1 species
CCUACGGGGGGCAGCAGUGGGGAAUAUUGGACAAUGGGGGGAACCCUGAUCCAGCCAUGCCGCGUGUGUGAAGAAGGCCCUCGGGUUGUAAAGCACUUUCAGUGAGGAAGAACGCCUGGUGGUUAAUACCCAUCAGGAAAGACAUCACUCACAGAAGAAGCACCGGCUAACUCCGUGCCAGCAGCCGCGGUAAUACGGAGGGUGCGAGCGUUAAUCGGAAUUACUGGGCGUAAAGCGCGCGUAGGUGGCUUGAUAAGCCGGUUGUGAAAGCCCCGGGCUCAACCUGGGAACGGCAUCCGGAACUGUCAAGCUAGAGUGACGGAGAGGAAGGUAGAAUUCCCGGUGUAGCGGUGAAAUGCGUAGAGAUCGGGAGGAAUACCAGUGGCGAAGGCGGCCUUCUGGACUGACACUGACACUGAGGUGCGAAAGCGUGGGUAGCAAACAGGAUUAGAUACCCGUGUAGUA